rnacentral:rRNA from 1 species
ACUAAGCGUACACGGUGGAUGCCCUGGCAGUCAGAGGCGAUGAAGGACGUGCUAAUCUGCGAUAAGCGUCGGUGAGGUGAUAUGAACCGUUAUAACCGGCGAUUUCCGAAUGGGGAAACCCAGUGUGUUUCGACACACUAUCAUUAACUGAAUCCAUAGGUUAAUGAGGCGAACCGGGGGAACUGAAACAUCUAAGUACCCCGAGGAAAAGAAAUCAACCGAGAUUCCCCCAGUAGCGGCGAGCGAACGGGGAGGAGCCCAGAGCCUGAAUCAGUGUGUGUGUUAGUGGAAGCGUCUGGAAAGGCGUGCGAUACAGGGUGACAGCCCCGUACACAAAAAUGCACAUAUUGUGAGCUCGAUGAGUAGGGCGGGACACGUGGUAUCCUGUCUGAAUAUGGGGGGACCAUCCUCCAAGGCUAAAUACUCCUGACUGACCGAUAGUGAACCAGUACCGUGAGGGAAAGGCGAAAAGAACCCCGGCGAGGGGAGUGAAAAAGAACCUGAAACCGUGUACGUACAAGCAGUGGGAGCCUCUUAAUGGGGUGACUGCGUACCUUUUGUAUAAUGGGUCAGCGACUUAUAUUCUGUAGCAAGGUUAACCGAAUAGGGGAGCCGAAGGGAAACCGAGUCUUAACUGGGCGUUAAGUUGCAGGGUAUAGACCCGAAACCCGGUGAUCUAGCCAUGGGCAGGUUGAAGGUUGGGUAACACUAACUGGAGGACCGAACCGACUAAUGUUGAAAAAUUAGCGGAUGACUUGUGGCUGGGGGUGAAAGGCCAAUCAAACCGGGAGAUAGCUGGUUCUCCCCGAAAGCUAUUUAGGUAGCGCCUCGUGAAUUCAUCUCCGGGGGUAGAGCACUGUUUCGGCAAGGGGGUCAUCCCGACUUACCAACCCGAUGCAAACUGCGAAUACCGGAGAAUGUUAUCACGGGAGACACACGGCGGGUGCUAACGUCCGUCGUGAAGAGGGAAACAACCCAGACCGCCAGCUAAGGUCCCAAAGUCAUGGUUAAGUGGGAAACGAUGUGGGAAGGCCCAGACAGCCAGGAUGUUGGCUUAGAAGCAGCCAUCAUUUAAAGAAAGCGUAAUAGCUCACUGGUCGAGUCGGCCUGCGCGGAAGAUGUAACGGGGCUAAACCAUGCACCGAAGCUGCGGCAGCGACACUAUGUGUUGUUGGGUAGGGGAGCGUUCUGUAAGCCUGUGAAGGUGGCCUGUGAGGGUUGCUGGAGGUAUCAGAAGUGCGAAUGCUGACAUAAGUAACGAUAAAGCGGGUGAAAAGCCCGCUCGCCGGAAGACCAAGGGUUCCUGUCCAACGUUAAUCGGGGCAGGGUGAGUCGACCCCUAAGGCGAGGCCGAAAGGCGUAGUCGAUGGGAAACAGGUUAAUAUUCCUGUACUUGGUGUUACUGCGAAGGGGGGACGGAGAAGGCUAUGUUGGCCGGGCGACGGUUGUCCCGGUUUAAGCGUGUAGGCUGGUUUUCCAGGCAAAUCCGGAAAACCAAGGCUGAGGCGUGAUGACGAGGCACUACGGUGCUGAAGCGACAAAUGCCCUGCUUCCAGGAAAAGCCUCUAAGCAUCAGGUAACAUCAAAUCGUACCCCAAACCGACACAGGUGGUCAGGUAGAGAAUACCAAGGCGCUUGAGAGAACUCGGGUGAAGGAACUAGGCAAAAUGGUGCCGUAACUUCGGGAGAAGGCACGCUGAUAUGUAGGUGAAGCGACUUGCUCGUGGAGCUGAAAUCAGUCGAAGAUACCAGCUGGCUGCAACUGUUUAUUAAAAACACAGCACUGUGCAAACACGAAAGUGGACGUAUACGGUGUGACGCCUGCCCGGUGCCGGAAGGUUAAUUGAUGGGGUUAGCAGUAACGCGAAGCUCUUGAUCGAAGCCCCGGUAAACGGCGGCCGUAACUAUAACGGUCCUAAGGUAGCGAAAUUCCUUGUCGGGUAAGUUCCGACCUGCACGAAUGGCGUAAUGAUGGCCAGGCUGUCUCCACCCGAGACUCAGUGAAAUUGAACUCGCUGUGAAGAUGCAGUGUACCCGCGGCAAGACGGAAAGACCCCGUGAACCUUUACUAUAGCUUGACACUGAACAUUGAGCCUUGAUGUGUAGGAUAGGUGGGAGGCUUUGAAGUGUGGACGCCAGUCUGCAUGGAGCCGGCCUUGAAAUACCACCCUUUAAUGUUUGAUGUUCUAACGUUGGCCCGUAAUCCGGGUUGCGGACAGUGUCUGGUGGGUAGUUUGACUGGGGCGGUCUCCUCCUAAAGAGUAACGGAGGAGCACGAAGGUUGGCUAAUCCUGGUCGGACAUCAGGAGGUUAGUGCAAUGGCAUAAGCCAGCUUGACUGCGAGCGUGACGGCGCGAGCAGGUGCGAAAGCAGGUCAUAGUGAUCCGGUGGUUCUGAAUGGAAGGGCCAUCGCUCAACGGAUAAAAGGUACUCCGGGGAUAACAGGCUGAUACCGCCCAAGAGUUCAUAUCGACGGCGGUGUUUGGCACCUCGAUGUCGGCUCAUCACAUCCUGGGGCUGAAGUAGGUCCCAAGGGUAUGGCUGUUCGCCAUUUAAAGUGGUACGCGAGCUGGGUUUAGAACGUCGUGAGACAGUUCGGUCCCUAUCUGCCGUGGGCGCUGGAGAACUGAGGGGGGCUGCUCCUAGUACGAGAGGACCGGAGUGGACGCAUCACUGGUGUUCGGGUUGUCAUGCCAAUGGCACUGCCCGGUAGCUAAAUGCGGAAGAGAUAAGUGCUGAAAGCAUCUAAGCACGAAACUUGCCCCGAGAUGAGUUCUCCCUGAGACUUAGAGUCUCCUGAAGGAACGUUGAAGACGACGACGUUGAUAGGCCGGGUGUGUAAGCGCAGCGAUGCGUUGAGCUAACCGGUACUAAUGAACCGUGAGGCUUAACC